UAGCACGGCGCGCUGACGUGGCCAACUCUAUCCCGGAACAGUGACUGAACGCCGUGGCUCGGGCCUGUGGACCCGACACCCAGAUCUCACCAGACUCAGAAGAAAGCCGGGCGACGACGCGCUGCGAGAUGGAAGAGAGCCGCGAUUCGGCCAGUGGGCACACGGGGCCGACCGGAGAGGAUUCGAACUGGCCCGAAGUCAGCUGAGCUAUCCGCCAAGCCGUACAUCCGCGCUGCCCAGCGGCCCCCAGCCGGGCCCGCUUGCCGCCUCUCGGAAGUUACAGAUGCCAGGGCACAGUACGAUCGGGCCAUUGGAGCAGAGCUUGUUCUUCACCAAAUAAUACGUUCCAGUGAAGAAGCUAAGGCAGUGAGACCGCGUGGCCUAAUGGAUAAGGCGUCUGACUUCGGAUCAGAAGAUUGAGGGUUCGAGUCCCUUCGUGGUCGAAACGUUUUCAUCCUUAAUCGGUCUUCCCAAUUGAGUACUAUUUAGUUCCUUGUUUUAAAUGGAAAAGAUUUCCAAAGACACUGCAAGACUCUGGGCUUUUAGCGUUGGAGAACUUAUUCUUGUGACUCUGUUAUUUAUUUACCUUUUAAAAGGCGGAUUAUAGAGCACCCAGGAAGUUCCAGUGUCCUAAUGUGUAAGGCCUCGUAGGCAAGAGAUUUGGCGCUGAGUCUCAUCUGAGAUGGGGCAGCAGUAAUUUCUAGACUUCUCAAGCAAGAACGGUUAUUCUGAUAAAACAAUGUCUCCUAAGGUGGAUUAUCCCCAAAUGUAGACAGAAGGUAGCAGAGAGCUCUGUUGACCUGGUGGAGCUCACAGAUACUCACAGGUAGCUAUGCCUUUUGUUCUGAACAGCAGAUUACCACACCAAGUUAUCCCUAAAUUGUGGGACUGGCACCCCAUUGGAGCCGAGUUCCAGCCCUGCUGUGCCACUGACGUCAUCCAUUUUCUGGACUGCAUUCGAACCCUCCCUUGGUCAUGCUCUCCCUACAGAAUUUAAGCUAUAGUAGGUGAGAUGGGGGUGCUUGGUUAUCUAGAAACUUCCCAGGCUAUCUAUUUAAUUCUCAUUACAAUCCUGAUGCUUGUAAGAACAGUAGAAUCCCAAAACAGUUAACUCAGCAAUUGUGUGUUGGGCACUGGCCCUGACUUCAGGGCUGUCUCCUCCAACCACCUUAACUUUUCAUUUUCCCAUUUUGUGUGAUGUAGAGAACAGAAUGCACAUGUGGAGGUCAGAGACUGUCCUCACCAUAACACUAUGACCUAACACCAUAACACAGGCUCUGCUGUUCAAGGUUUAGCAGCCCUGAGGCCACAGUAACUGGUUCCCUACAGUCUGUCCCUUAGAUGACUAUUUCACAGAACUGAAUGCUUCUGGUGGGGCCACCUCAGAAGAGUUCACCCACUGAAAGACGACAACCACGCUAUGUAAAUGUUUUAUUUUGAUGUCCAGAAUUGGGAAUGAAGGACUGGCGCUUCUUCCUGGCCUGUCUCACAGGUUCUCGAUGGGCUGAUGAGGCCAGUACGGGUACUUCUUCUUGUCCAGUUUGGUUUCUGGGAAGACUUCAUUCAAGUCGUCAAUGGUCAUCUGGUCAAAGGGGACGAUGUUCUUUAUUUUCUCCAGCUAGAAAGAGCAGGCACGAGUCAGCCCUAGGAAACAGGCAAGGCCACCAAGAACAAAACAAGAAUCCAAGGACGGUCACUACCAAGGGUGUCAUAGAGGCCAUGGCUCAUCCUCACCUGCGUCUCAUAUUGCCGGAUCCGGGCCUGGGACUCAGACACAAAUGCAGCACAGUUCUUCACCUUUAAGAGAAAGGAGAAACUGUCCUGAAACCAAGCAACAGCCUGCCUGAGGCGCGAGCAGCUCCAGCCUGCUCAUUUCCCUCUGCUAUCUAAAGAAGACCAUGCUGACCUAGCCUGAGUGCUUUGGAAGGGGGCAAACCACAGCUUUCCCAACACCCACAAAGCAGCCAGGCAGGAAAGCAGCUUAGGACUGGUCACUGCAGAGUCUGGGCAAGUCACAUGACUCUAGGUCCAGGUUCCAAUGUUGACCUGAGGUAUUUUCAGGCAAAUAGAUAUUUGAAUGCUGAA